rnacentral:lncRNA from 1 species
ACUCUCACAAGUUCCAAUAAUAUAUAAGACGCUAACCAUUAAUCUUUAUUCACUUACGGGUCUCGAUUACGACUCGGUCCUACCCGGCCUCUCGUCAUUUGAAAUGUAACUCGACCCAAUCUGGCCUCCCGCCGUAUAGCAGCAUGCUUAUUCUUUUAAGCCAAUAUAUACAUGUUCUCAAUAAAUUAAAAUUUUCUUUUGCGCUCUCUCUCUCUCUCUCUCUCUCUCUCUCUUUGUU